AUUGAACGCUGGCGGCAUGCUUUACACAUGCAAGUCGAACGGCAGCGGGGGCUUCGGCCUGCCGGCGAGUGGCGAACGGGUGAGUAAUGCAUCGGAACGUACCCAGUCAUGGGGGAUAACUACGCGAAAGCGUAGCUAAUACCGCAUACGCCCUGAGGGGGAAAGCGGGGGACCGCAAGGCCUAGCGUGAUUGGAGCGGCCGAUGUCGGAUUAGCUAGUUGGUGGGGUAAAGGCCUACCAAGGCGACGAUCCGUAGCGGGUCUGAGAGGAUGAUCCGCCACACUGGGACUGAGACACGGCCCAGACUCCUACGGGAGGCAGCAGUGGGGAAUUUUGGACAAUGGGGGCAACCCUGAUCCAGCCAUGCCGCGUGAGUGAAGAAGGCCUUCGGGUUGUAAAGCUCUUUCAGACGGAAAGAAAACGCUUCUCCUAAUACGGGGGGCGGAUGACGGUACUGUCAGAAGAAGCACCGGCUAACUACGUGCCAGCAGCCGCGGUAA
rnacentral:rRNA from 1 species